ensembl:snRNA U6 U6 spliceosomal RNA
GUGCUCACUUCAGCAGCACAUCUACUAAAACUGGGACAAUACAGAGAAGAUAACAUGGCACCUGGACAAGGAUGACACGCAAAUUCACAAAACAUUCCCUAUUAAA